CCUACGGGUGGCUGCAGUGAGGAAUAUUGGUCAAUGGCCGUAAGGCUGAACCAGCCAAGCAGCGUGAGGGAAGACUGCCCUAUGGGUUGUAAACCUCUUUUAUGCGGGGAUAAAGGUGUCCACGUGUGGCUGUUUGCAUGUACCGCAUGAAUAAGGACCGGCUAAUUCCGUGCCAGCAGCCGCGGUAAUACGGAGGGUCCGGGCGUUGUCCGGAUUUAUUGGGUUUAAAGGGUGCGUAGGCCGGACGUUAAGCGUGCCGUGAAAUUUUGUGGCUCAACCAUGAGAGGGCAGCGGAAACUGGAGAGCUAGAGUGCGCGGGAGGCAGAGGGAAUUCGUGGUGUAGCGGUGAAAUGCUUAGAUAUCACGAAGAACCUCGAUGGCGAAGGC
rnacentral:rRNA from 1 species